GACGAACGCUGGCGGCGUGCUUAACACAUGCAAGUCGAACGGUGAACUCCGCUUGCGGGGGGAUCAGUGGCGAACUGGUGAGUAACACGUGGGCAACCUGCCCUCAGCUCUGGGAUAACUCCAAGAAAUUGGGGCUAAUACCGGAUAUGACCGCUGACCGCAUGGUCUGGUGGUGGAAAGAUUUAUCGGCUGGGGAUGGGCCCGCGGCCUAUCAGCUUGUUGGUGGGGUAGUGGCCUACCAAGGCGACGACGGGUAGCCGGCCUGAGAGGGUGACCGGCCACACUGGGACUGAGACACGGCCCAGACUCCUACGGGAGGCAGCAGUGGGGAAUAUUGCGCAAUGGGCGAAAGCCUGACGCAGCGACGCCGCGUGGGGGAUGACGGCCUUCGGGUUGUAAACCUCUUUCAGCAGGGACGAAGCGAAAGUGACGGUACCUGCAGAAGAAGCACCGGCCAACUACGUG
rnacentral:rRNA from 1 species